rnacentral:rRNA from 1 species
AUUGAACGCUGGCGGCAGGCUUAACACAUGCAAGUCGAGCGAGCGGCGGACGGGUGAGUAAUGUCUGGGAAACUGCCUGAUGGAGGGGGAUAACUACUGGAAACGGUAGCUAAUACCGCAUACCAUCAGAUGUGCCCAGAUGGGAUUAGCUAGUAGGUGGGGUAAUGGCUCACCUAGGCGACGAUCCCUAGCUGGUCUGAGAGGAUGACCAGCCACACUGAAACUGAGACACGGUCCAGACUCCUACGGGAGGCAGCAGUGGGGAUAAUUGCAAAAUGGGCGCAAGCCUGAUUCAGCAAUGCAGCGGAAGUGAAGAAGGCCUUCGGGUUGUAAAGCACUUUAAGAGAGGAGGCGUUACUCGCAGAAGAAGCACCGGCUAACUCCGUGCCAGCAGCCGCGGUAAUAG